GACGGAGGAUGCAAGUGUUAUCCGGAAUCACUGGGCGUAAAGCGUCUGUAGGUGGUUCGAAAAGUCCACUGUUAAAGAUUGAGGCUUAACUUCAAAAAUGCCGUGGAAACUUUCAAACUAGAGUAUGGUAGGGGUAGAGGGAAUUUCCAGUGGAGCGGUGAAAUGCGUAGAUAUUGGAAAGACCACCGAUGGCGAAGGCACUCUACUGGGCUAUUACUAACACUCGAGAGACGAAAAGCUAGGGUAGCAAAUGGG
rnacentral:rRNA from 1 species